rnacentral:rRNA from 1 species
UACGUAGGGGGCGAGCGUUGUCCGGAAUUAUUGGGCGUAAAGAGCGUGUAGGCGGUCCGGUAAGUCCGCUGUGAAAGUCCAGGGCUCAACCCUGGAAUGCCGGUGGAUACUGCCGGGCUAGAGUCCGGAAGAGGCGAGUGGAAUUCCUGGUGUAGCGGUGAAAUGCGCAGAUAUCAGGAGGAACACCGAUGGCGAAGGCAGCUCGCUGGGACGGUACUGAUGCUGAGACGCGAAAGCGUGGGGAGCAAACAGG